CCACAGCGUGCCCGGACAGCUUUUACGGUCCUGACUGUGGCCAGAUGUGCGAGUACAGGAACGCUGCCCGCUGCCACCACAUCACAGGAGCCUGCCUGUGCACCGCCGGCUGGGCAGGACCACACUGCAUUCUGGAAUGUGAAGAAGGAAACUAUGGUGAGAACUGCACACGGACAUGAGGAUGUUUAAAUGGAGGGAGAUGUGACAAUGUCUUUGUUCACCUGUCUGGAUUGAAGAGCGCUGUCAGUCAGGGAUUCAUUGGGGAGCGCUGCGAGCGACGGUACUACUAAACCCACAGUUCCAGUUGCCACCAUGUGACGGGUCGCUGUGAGUGUCGGCCAGGCUGGAGAGGAGCCAGGUGUGAAAAACAUGAGUGUGUUUGUACAUGACUGGAAGUGACUGAGUGAAACAGAACAUUUUGCUGAACCUAUUAGGUUCCUCUUUGUGGACGGUCAGCCUGCCUUCCUGGGUUCUAUGGCCCUUCCUGUCUCUAGUUGUGUCAGUGCCAGGCUGGGGUGUACUGUCACCACGAAACGGGGAGCAGUGGCUGCCCAGCUGGACUGACAGGGUCUGGAUGUGAGAAAAUUAAGAACAGAAAAACAAAACAAAACACCAAC